rnacentral:lncRNA from 1 species
AUUUGAAAGUUCACCUUUCAAACAAAGUGCUUUCAAAUAAGUUCCCAAAUGAACCCCGGUGAGUUAGUGCUUAUAUAAGCAUGGCUCAUAUUUUAAAUAUUUUAUAUAAGUAUAGGUCAUUCUUUCUUAAAUAUUUAUAUAACUAUAGGUACUGAAUUUCAGUGAAUGUUAUAUUAGAAUGGGUACGUUUUUUGAGGCCAAAAUGGCACACCCCUACCAAGAAAAUAUCGAAGUUACCCCCCGUGC